rnacentral:lncRNA from 1 species
GAGGGGGCUGAGAAUAAAGCUUUCGGUCAACAUGUCCUUGACACUAGCAUAGGUCGUCAACUGAGGGACUGUGAGCUAAUUUGGCUAGGUUAGAUUUAGAGGUUUGAUUUCAUUCCUACUCCAAACAAUAAUAAAAAUAUAAAAUAUUAUAAUUAUUAGUAUAAAUUAAUUCUUCAUAAUAUAACAUAAUAUUAAAUUAUUUAACAUAUAUUAUGAUACAGUGUAAUAUAAUAUUAUA